CGGACACCGCGCCGCCCCGCGCGGCUGCCGCUCGCUCCCCUGCCGCGUGCUCUUGCCCCCGUUGAGUCUCUAGCACUGAGCGCGCAAAAGUGUCCAUCAUCAUAAUAAUACACAAUAAUAAUAAUAAUUAAUGAUGAUAAUAGCAGCGCCUUCUGUGCCAGUUAAAGACUCCGCUUUCCUUUCUCUGAGCACUAGCAGACAGAUGAUUUGCCCGAAGUUGAUGCACGUGGUUUAAAGGGCAGUGGGCGCAGGAGCCGCAGCCCGAGCUCUGCUCUCGUGUCAGGCGCUGCCGAACGCACUCGGUCCCAGCACAGCAAAGGCCAGGGAUGGUGGAUCAGCCGUGUCUUAUCAGCCGUGUCUCCCGACAGGCACGGGAGCCCCGAAGAGCCCAAAGCAAGCCGGCUGUGUGUGCCUGUUGGGCUCCUCCCUGCUGGCCCGGGCUCUCCGGGCACACAGAGCGUUCCCCGGACACGCAGGCGGUGCCAGCAUCCCCCUCUCAGAGCUGAGCGAGCCGGGAUGCUCGGACGCUGCAGCACAGCUCCUCUCCAGGCAGACAAAUCCGACGAGAACAGAACCUCGGACCCACCGGGAUGCCCGUGUCCCCUGUUCCACUUCUGGCAAUUCCUCCUUUUUUAACCUCUUCUGUCUGAAAAUACACAUUUCUUUGCAGCUGUCCUGGUUUUAGGACAAGCAGUGAUGAGCCACAGGAACACAAGCUUUGAGAUUUGCAUUUUGGAGAAAACAGGUUUCAGAAAACUGAAAGUAGCCAACAUAACCUGUGAAAAUGGGACAGAACAACAUCAAGUAUAAAUGCAUUUGCUGUGCAAUAAUUUAGAACCACAAUAACAUCCCAUUAAAAAUAUUAAUUUUUAAAAAUGAGAUGCCCUGUAUAGCAAGUACUAAUGGAAGCAAUCAAGUUUUAGAACAGAUGAUGUAAGAGAAAGCUAUUUAAAAUAGAAUCUCCACCGCCUCUUUCUCCAUUCAGAGCCCACAGAGGAAGGUGCAAAGCAGUUCUUACAAAGUGACUCAAAACUUCCCAGCCACUAUCAGCGGCUUGCUUCAGACAUAUAUAAAGUUUCCUUUUCUUUGAAAAAGUUUAAAGACACAGUAAGGUUUCAAUAAAUCCCUCCUCCUGUAAUGUCA
rnacentral:lncRNA from 1 species